rnacentral:misc_RNA from 1 species
CAGGGGGAACUAAUUUGUGGGCUUCGGGACGGUCUUUGCUUGCCCCGUGGAUACUUGCUGUCUUGGGUGCAGCCGUAUUAUUGGGUGAGAACUUGCGUCGCAGUGGUGGAUUGCUCCUAUGCUUCACUUGUAUUUCACCGUGUCUCAUGGAUGCUGUGCCUGUCGAGGAUUUCAUGGGCCUCUGUUGCCCUGAUUUUCUUGGGAUCUCUGGUUGUGCACUGGAUCAUUGCCCCACGCCUUCUGUAUCUUGCUGUGGAUGUUGGGCUGUCGGUGUGUUGCGUGCGGGGACGUGUUCCAAGUGCAUUUGUGAGAUGUUUUUCCGAUUCAAUGUGCAAUUUUGACGGUUCAC